GGCACUACGGUGCUGAAGCAACAAAUGCCCUGCUUCCAGGAAAAGCCUCUAAGCAUCAGGUAACAUCAAAUCGUACCCCAAACCGACACAGGUGGUCAGGUAGAGAAUACCAAGGCGCUUGAGAGAACUCGGGUGAAGGAACUAGGCAAAAUGGUGCCGUAACUUCGGGAGAAGGCACGCUGAUAUGUAGGUGAAGUCCCUCGCGGAUGGAGCUGAAAUCAGUCGAAGAUACCAGCUGGCUGCAACUGUUUAUUAAAAACACAGCACUGUGCAAACACGAAAGUGGACGUAUACGGUGUGACGCCUGCCCGGUGCCGGAAGGUUAAUUGAUGGGGUCAGCGCAAGCGAAGCUCUUGAUCGAAGCCCCGGUAAACGGCGGCCGUAACUAUAACGGUCCUAAGGUAGCGAAAUUCCUUGUCGGGUAAGUUCCGACCUGCACGAAUGGCGUAAUGAUGGCCAGGCUGUCUCCACCCGAGACUCAGUGAAAUUGAACUCGCUGUGAAGAUGCAGUGUACCCGCGGCAAGACGGAAAGACCCCGUGAACCUUUACUAUAGCUUGACACUGAACAUUGAGCCUUGAUGUGUAGGAUAGGUGGGAGGCUUUGAAGUGUGGACGCCAGUCUGCAUGGAGCCGACCUUGAAAUACCACCCUUUAAUGUUUGAUGUUCUAACGUUGACCCGUAAUCCGGGUUGCGGACAGUGUCUGGUGGGUAGUUUGACUGGGGCGGUCUCCUCCUAAAGAGUAACGGAGGAGCACGAAGGUUGGCUAAUCCUGGUCGGACAUCAGGAGGUUAGUGCAAUGGCAUAAGCCAGCUUGACUGCGAGCGUGACGGCGCGAGCAGGUGCGAAAGCAGGUCAUAGUGAUCCGGUGGUUCUGAAUGGAAGGGCCAUCGCUCAACGGAUAAAAGGUACUCCGGGGAUAACAGGCUGAUACCGCCCAAGAGUUCAUAUCGACGGCGGUGUUUGGCACCUCGAUGUCGGCUCAUCACAUCCUGGGGCUGAAGUAGGUCCCAAGGGUAUGGCUGUUCGCCAUUUAAAGUGGUACGCGAGCUGGGUUUAGAACGUCGUGAGACAGUUCGGUCCCUAUCUGCCGUGGGCGCUGGAGAACUGAGGGGGGCUGCUCCUAGUACGAGAGGACCGGAGUGGACGCAUCACUGGUGUUCGGGUUGUCAUGCCAAUGGCACUGCCCGGUAGCUAAAUGCGGAAGAGAUAAGUGCUGAAAGCAUCUAAGCACGAAACUUGCCCCGAGAUGAGUUCUCCCUGACUCCUUGAGAGUCCUGAAGGAACGUUGAAGACGACGACGUUGAUAGGCCGGAUGUGUAAGCGCAGCGAUGCGUUGAGCUAACCGGUACUAAUGAACCGUGAGGCUUAACCUU
rnacentral:rRNA from 1 species